UACCAGGCAGGAGGACCGUGGAGUCGACUAACUGCUCAAAGACAAUGCCCGAAAGGGUUGGUGAUUGAUGUUGCUGGUAUUUUACUUGAGGUAUCAAUGAUUAAUGAUGGAUUUCUGGUUGGGUGAUCUGUUAAUGGCCAUUGAUACUUCUGUAGUGUGUUGUUCCCCGGCGAAGAGAAAAUCUUUGAGCAGUUCUAUAUACAUGUGGUAUUUCUUUGGACAAGAAUUGAUGGUGGUGAUUGAUUUCAAGUGAAAAACUUCUAGGUUAAAUUAAGUACAUAUGCAGCUAAAUUUUGCUUUCAUGAUUUUAUUGUGUCGUCUCUGAUUUAAAACUUAGGUUUCCUACUGCAGCUACACCUUGCACAGUAAAAAAUAAUAUUAGACGCUAUGCUUCUUUGCUUUAUUCGUGACUGAAGCUAAACUAUAUCUAUAUCCUCUUAAGUUGUAUUCAUUAUAUUAUUUACUCACCUUCGUCAAUUUAAUUCUAGCGUUUUGAGAAGGAGAAGGAUCGUCUGAACAAUGGAUGUACUGAAGUGGAUCCCGUGGUUCGGCGAAACUGACGCCCUUGCUGGAUAUGCAUUCAUUGAUGGAUCUUACAUGAUGUCCUGGCUAGAUAGCUUAUAUUGAUUGUGCUUGAAGUGAAAGUAAAAGAAGUACAAAAACAAGUGAUUUCUGAAUUGUCAGGUUAUGGUUUAGGCAAACCAUUGUGUCAUAAAAACUGCUAUUUAUACCAAGCCUUUUUGUUGCUGUCCAAUCUUAGUAUGUCAAAAACUAGAAAUGCCUAAAUUUCAGCUUAGUUUAUGUUGAGGCGUCAAAGCCCACAUUAGUUUUUUGUUCUAAAUUGCAUUAUCACUAUUUACAUUGCAUGUCAAACAAGGCGGAGCUAAUUUUUGCUUAAACAUGAGCAUAUUUUCAACUUGCUACAUUCAAAUGGCGACUUAUAUAUUUUUUGUGUAAGAAGUCAUGUGCUUAUGUUUCAUACUUCUAUCCCUUCGUAGUCAUGCACUGCACAAGCGCCUAGAGCCACCGCAGGUCGUGGCGAGAAGGAUCAUGUGUGGGAAGCAAAAAUCAGAGGAACAUCCAAUACAAAUUCUUUUGAUGUCAGUUAUGAUUGCAGAAUCCAAAGCUGAUCAAGUGCAUGAGGUGGAGAUGAGCAUGAAGCUAUCGCUGCUCAAGCCAUGGGAAAGGAGAAAAGAGCAACGCCAACAUGCAUGUUUGCCCACACUGGAUUGUACUUGCCUCAAGAGGAUUCGCAAACAUUGGUUUAUAAACAUUGGUGCAAUCUCAAACAUGUAUGAUGUGAAUAAUUUAUCAUGUCUAGAGUGAUGCCUUGAAGUAAGAUGAUAUCUGGUCUACAUCUAUUUUCCAGAUUACUCAAGCUAUUGCUUUUAUCCUCCAACUCGACUUAAAGUUAAUUCAGUUGGAAGAAGAAAAUGGCCAGGGACAAACAGUAUAAAGCACUAUUUCAGUUUGAGCAAAUGGCCAGGGAAAAUGACUCUUUGAUCUCCAUAUGGGUAAAGUCAUUCAGCUACGAGUUUGAACAGCCAAGCGGACGAGCACCUAACGGUUUCUGGAUGGCCGCACCUGAUUGGUUCCUCUCCGUCAGCACCGCCCCUUUUAGAGUUUGUGCUGGGCAACCUUGGACUAAAGAUGGUUUGGUCGGAGUAAGGAAAACAAAACUGAGGUUAUGUUGAAGCUUGGACAUACCAGAGAUCAACCCGGCGAGAAGCAAGUAUAUACCAGGAAACCAAAGAAUAGAAGAAUGUAUUUUGUCCAGACGAUCACUGCACCUGCAAUGGAAAAUAGAAGCCACUUAUGUACCACUGCCACAAGUAUCUACUAUAAAAGCUCCAAGGAAAACACUUAGUU